CCUACGGGGGGCAGCAGUGAGGAAUAUUGGUCAAUGGACGAGAGUCUGAACCAGCCAAGUAGCGUGAAGGAUGACUGCCCUCUGGGUUGUAAACUUCUUUUAUAUGGGAAUAAAUUGUUCCACGUGUGGGAUUUUGUAUGUACCAUAUGAAUAAGGAUCGGCUAACUCCGUGCCAGCAGCCGCGGUAAUACGGAGGAUCCGAGCGUUAUCCGGAUUUAUUGGGUUUAAAGGGAGCGUAGGUGGAUUGUUAAGUAAGUUGUGAAAGUUUGCGGCUCAACCGUAAAAUUGCAGUUGAAACUGGCAGUCUUGAGUACAGGAGAGGUGGGCGGAAUUCGUGGUGUAGCGGUGAAAUGCUUAGAUAUCACGAAGAACUCCGAUUGCGAAGGCAGUUCACUGGACUGCAACUGACGCUGAGGCUCGAAAGUGUGGGUAUCAAACAGGAUUAGAUACCCCAGUAGUC
rnacentral:rRNA from 1 species